rnacentral:rRNA from 1 species
ACCGAUAGCGAACAAGUACCGUGAGGGAAAGAUGAAAAGAACUUUGAAAAGAGAGUUAAACAGUACGUGAAAUUGUUGAAAGGGAAACGAUUAAAGUCAGUCGUACCGACGGGGAAUCAACUUCUCGAGCGUGGUUUAGUGGGUUCAAAGUGCCUUUGUUCUCGCGAUAUCCGCGUUCUUUUGGUGCACUUUCUCGUAUUGUAGGUUAGCAUCGGUUUUGAUCGUCAUAAAAUG